rnacentral:rRNA from 1 species
ACGCUGGCGGCACGCCUAACACAUGCAAGUCGAACGAAGUAGCAAUACUUAGUGGCAGACGGGUGAGUAACAUGUAGGUAUCUGCCCUUUGGCCUGGAAUAACACGAGGAAACUUGUGCUAAUACUGGAUAAGUCUUUACGGAGAAAGCUUUAUGCACCAUUGGAUGAGCCUGCACUUGAUUAGUUUGUUGGUGGGGUAAUGGCCUACCAAGACUGUGAUCAAUAGCUGAUUUGAGAGGAUGAUCAGCCACAUUGGGACUGAGACACGGCCCAAACUCCUACGGGAGGCAGCAGUGGGGAAUCUUGCACAAUGGAGGAAACUCUGAUGCAGCGAUGCCGCGUGAGUGAAGAAGGCCCUUGGGUUGUAAAGCUCUUUCGUCGGGGAAGAAAAUGACUGUACCCGAAUAAGAAGGUCCGGCUAACUUCGUGCCAGCAGCCGCGGUAAUACGAAGGGACCUAGCGUAGUUCGGAAUUACUGGGCUUAAAGAGUUCGUAGGUGGUUGAAAAAGUUGGUGGUGAAAUCCCAGAGCUUAACUCUGGAACUGCCAUCAAAACUUUUCAGCUAGAGUAUGAUAGAGGAAAGCAGAAUUUCUAGUGUAGAGGUGAAAUUCGUAGAUAUUAGAAAGAAUACCAAUUGCGAAGGCAGCUUUCUGGAUCAUUACUGACACUGAGGAACGAAAGCAUGGGUAGCGAAGAGGAUUAGAUACCCUCGUAGUCCAUGCCGUAAACGAUGUGUGUUAGACGUUGGAAAUUUAUUUUCAGUGUCGCAGCGAAAGCGAUAAACACACCGCCUGGGGAGUACGACCGCAA